rnacentral:lncRNA from 1 species
GUCUUAUUCUUAGUUCUCAGAAGACUUUGAAGGAUACAAUACUUUCAUCUCUUUUCUAGGAAAAGAGCAUUCAGUAGUAACCACUGCUGGCUCUUUCCUGUUCUGAGCUGAUGAGUGGAUGGAGAGUUUCACCUCUGAGCACCACUGUUUACGGUGGUUUCCUUUAUGCCACUCCCUAGCUUUGCUGUGAAGAGCUUCCUGCAUAGGCAAGUGCUACUGCAGAGCUUCCCAGAGAUAAUUCCUCCAUCUAUCCUAUGGCCGAAACA